rnacentral:rRNA from 1 species
UAGGGAAUCUUCCACAAUGGACGAAAGUCUGAUGGAGCAACGCCGCGUGAGUGAAGAAGGUUUUCGGAUCGUAAAGCUCUGUUGUUGGUGAAGAAGGAUAGAGGCAAUAACUGGUCUUUAUUUGACGGUAAUCAACCAGAAAGUCACGGCUAACCACGUGCCAGCAGCCGCGGUAAUACGUAGGUGGCAAGCGUUGUCCGGAUUUAUUGGGCGUAAAGCGAGCGCAGGCGGAAUGAUAAGUCUGAUGUGAAAGCCCACGGCUCAACCGUGGAACUGCAUCGGAAACUGUCAUUCUUGAGUGCAGAAGAGGAGAGUGGAACUCCAUGUGUAGCGGUGGAAUGCGUAGAUAUAUGGAAGAACACCAGUGGCGAAGGCGGCUCUCUGGUCUGCAACUGACGCUGAGGCUCGAAAGCAUGGGUAGCGAACAGGAUUAGAUACCCUGGUAGUCCAUGCCGUAAACGAUGAGCGCUAGGUGUUGGGGACUUUCCGGUCCUCAGUGCCGCAGCAAACGCAUUAAGCGCUCCGCCUGGGGAGUACGACCGCAAGGUUGAAAC